rnacentral:misc_RNA from 1 species
AUUUAAAAAUUUUUAAGUCAGAUUUAUAUGAAGCUUUUGCUUAUUGGAAAUUUUUUAUGGACAUUUGUUUGAAAAUAUUCUUAUUUUUGUAAAUGCUCCAGUGCUUGCCCUUUUCCUGUUUUUAUAUGUCUGUACGUGUAGUAUGGACCAGAAAUUGGUCUUACUCUAUAGGGUUUGACUACUUAGUGUAGGUGGGGUGGUAAAAACUCUUUUAAGUUGGUCAUAUGAACAAUGUAGAACGUGACUGGCUACAUGAAAACCAAUCAGAAGCUUAACAUGCAGACUCAUGCAAACAUUAUGCUAUAAAACCAAAGAAGGCUCUUCUUAAUUAAUUAUCAUCCUUCUUGUGAUCACAAACUGCCAUUUUUUUCUUCAUGCAGAAAUCAAUCUUCUUCCCAUGGCCUAAACUUUAAUGAGUUCGUGGAUUAAUCUAUUUAUAUAUAUAAAGCAG